rnacentral:rRNA from 1 species
GACGAACGCUGGCGGCGUGCUUAACACAUGCAAGUCGAACGAUGAACUUGGAGCUUGCUCUGGGGGAUUAGUGGCGAACGGGUGAGUAACACGUGAGUAACCUGCCCUGGACUCUGGAUAACUUCGAGAAAUCGGAGCUAAUACCGGAUAGGACCUUGCACCGCAUGGUGUGGGGUGGAAAGUUUUUCGGUUUGGGAUGGACUCGCGGCCUAUCAGCUUGUUGGUGAGGUAAUGGCUCACCAAGGCGUCGACGGGUAGCCGGCCUGAGAGGGUGACCGGCCACACUGGGACUGAGACACGGCCCAGACUCCUACGGGAGGCAGCAGUGGGGAAUAUUGCACAAUGGGCGCAAGCCUGAUGCAGCAACGCCGCGUGCGGGAUGACGGCCUUCGGGUUGUAAACCGCUUUUAGUAGGGAAGAAGCCUUCGGGCGACGGUACCUGCAGAAAAAGGACCGGCUAACUACGUGCCAGCCGCCGCAGUAAGAC